AAAUGACUCUAUGGUGUUGUACAUGGCAAACCAAAGAUCAUGUUUGGUACUAUCUUAGGUAGCAACUAAUAAGCUAAAAGAAGAACGGAAACUUAAUAAAGGUGUUGAAUCACAUAUAAUUCAUGCUGCCCUUGAUAAUGGAUCAAUCAGCUUUUCCUAAGUUAAACAAUAGUGAAAUUCCAGUAGCCUAAAGGCCUGAUUUGCACAUAUAGGAUAUAAGAUUAUAUGAUCAAGAAUAGCUACAUGGAUGCUACCCAGCACGAGACACUACUUUUUG
rnacentral:rRNA from 1 species